rnacentral:rRNA from 1 species
AUUGAACGCUGGCGGCAGGCCUAACACAUGCAAGUCGAGCGAGCGGCGGACGGGUGAGUAAUGUAUGGGGACUGCCCGAUAGAGGGGGAUAACUACUGGAAACGGUAGCUAAUACCGCAUACUAUCGGAUAACCCAUAUGGGAUUAGCUAGUAGGUGAGGUAAUGGCUCACCUAGGCGACGAUCCCUAGCUGGUCUGAGAGGAUGAUGAGCCCGACUGGAACUGAGAAACGGCCCGAACGCGUACGGAGGCAGCAGUGGGGAAUAUUGCACACUGGGCGCAAGCCGGAUGCAGCCAUGCCGCGUGUAUGAAGAAGGCCCUAGGGUUGUAAAGUACUUUCAGUCGGGAGGCGUUACCGACAGAAGAAGCACCGGCUAACUCCGUGCCAGCAGCCGCGGUAAUAC